CGCCUCUUGUACCCCUUAAAAUAAGAGGUCCCGCCUGCCCUGUGACUAUUAGUUUAACGGCCGCGGUAUUUUGACCGUGCGAAGGUAGCGCAAUCACUUGUCUUUUAAAUGAAGACCCGUAUGAAUGGCAUAACGAGGGCUUAGCUGUCUCCUCUUUCAAGUCAAUGAAAUUGAUCUUUCCGUGCAGAAGCGGGAAUAAACCCAUAAGACGAGAAGACCCUAUGGAGCUUUAGACACUAAGACAGCUUACGUUAAACACUCCCAAAAUAAAAGGAACAAACUAAAUAAGCUCUGCCCUAAUGUCUUUGGUUGGGGCGACCGCGGGGAAUUAAAUAACCCCCACGUGGAACGGGAGAACUCCUCCUUCAGCUAAGAGCUACAACUCUAAUAAACAGAAAUUCUAACCAACAAGAUCCGGCAAUGCCGAUCAACGGACCGAGUUACCCUAGGGAUAACAGCGCAAUCCUCUUUUAGAGCCCAUAUCGACAAGAGGGUUUACGACCUCGAUGUUGGAUCAGGACAUCCUAAUGGUGCAGCCGCUAUUAAGGGUUCGUUUGUUCAACGAUUAAAGUCCU
rnacentral:rRNA from 1 species